rnacentral:lncRNA from 1 species
GGCAUCCAGUACAAGGCCACGCACUACCUUCACGGAGUGCCAGGCACUUGUAGGGCACGACGGUGCCAUGGAAGUACCUUCACUUCCGUUUCCUCCAACCGAAUGGAUCAGCCUCAGCUUCACGACGUGGGCAAUGGACAUGAUCCUGGCCUUCGCCUGUGGACUGGGCCUCUUCCACCUGUGGAUACAUUUCUUCCCACUCACCUCACCCUCACCUGCAGAGGGCGCCUCCACCACCACCAAAAGGGUGGUGAAGAGGGACCACAACAAGGCCAGGAAGAAAAUCAGGACCUUGAAAGCUUACAGAGGCUACAGCAGGAAGAGAGGGAAGGAUGACAGGGGCCUGCUUUCGCUCCUGCAGAGCCUGCUUACUGACACCAUCAGCUUUUGCCAGCUCUUAAGAAGAGAUGCCUCGGCUCAAGGAUCCAGACCAGAAGCUGCCGAAGACCACCAGCCACCUAGGCAUUCCACAGAGCAGUCUAUGGCCAACUUGCCUCUAGUGGCCUCCUUCCCUCUGGUCAAGGAACACUUGCUGCACAAAGAUUCAACUUUGUCACCUACCCUGCUAAAUUCCCUUACUUGUAAGGAAUCACAAACACUUACAUGUGAUUCUACCCCACCAGUGACGACAAUGCCAAAAAUGCAUCCUUUACCACGACCAUGUGGCCCAACCUCCCCAUCCUGUCCUCAAGAUCCAGUGUUCUGCUCUCCAUCCGAGACAGACCAAAGCAUGACUCCUCCUCCUUCUCCUCCUCUUCCUCCUCCUCCUUUUCCUCUGAUCUCUCUUCCUCCUCCUCCUCCUCCUCUAUCCCUUCCUCCCUCUCUUCCUCCUCCUCUUUCCCUUCCUCCCUCUCUUCCUCCUCCUCCUCUUUCCCUUCCUCCCUCUCCUCCUCCUCCUCCUCUUCCUCCUCCUCCCCUUCCUCUUUUUCCUCCUCUUUCUCUUCCUCCUCCACCUCCUCCUCUUCCUCUUCCUCUUCCUUCUCCUCCUCCUCCUCCUCCUCCUCGAUGUGAGUGGAAAACACAACUAGUGACCUCACGAAGCACAUCUCCUCCAGCUUUGCCUUGUCCCAUGGCAAGCCCCCCAGGCCUUGAGCACUCAAACAUGUCUCCUUCAAGCUCUUCCUGGUACAAGGCGGCUGCCAGGACCUGGUGUCAUUCUAAGUGGUCACAGGAUGAGACCCUGCAAGAGGAUCUCCAUUUCAGCUUCCAAGAGGCCUCAUUGUGGACAGACCCUGGAUACAGGCAGCUAGAGGCUGGAGAACCCCCGUUCAUCAAGCCUGAUGUGCAGAAGAUACUGGAGCUGCAGAUUAGCAAGAGGGUAGAACUGAAGCUCUGGAAAGAGCAAGGAAGGGAGAGCUUUGACCACGCCUUGAGCUGUGUGGGUGAUAUGCUGCAGUCCUGGAGCAG